UGGCUUAGUGGUUAAGAGCAUUGGCUGCUCUGCUAAAGGACCUGGGUUCAAUUCCCAG
rnacentral:tRNA from 1 species